rnacentral:lncRNA from 1 species
CAGGUCCCUGCUGCUCAACAGAUGUUAAAUUUUCCUGAGAAGAACAAGGAGAAACCAAUUGAUUUGCAGAACUUUGGUCUUCGAACUGACAUUUACUCCAAGAAAACACUGGCAAAGAGUAAAGGAGCUAGUGCCGGAAGGGAGUGGACAGAACAGGAGACCCUUCUUCUCCUAGAGGCUCUGGAGAUGUACAAGGAUGAUUGGAAUAAAGUCUCGGAACAUGUUGGAAGCCGUACUCAGGAUGAAUGCAUCCUCCACUUUUUGAGGCUUCCCAUUGAGGACCCAUACCUUGAAAAUUCAGAUGCUUCUCUUGGGCCACUAGCUUACCAGCCUGUCCCUUUCAGCCAGUCAGGAAACCCCGUGAUGAGUACUGUUGCCUUUUUAGCAUCCGUGGUUGACCCUCGAGUAGCAUCAGCUGCAGCCAAAGCAGCUUUGGGAGUUUUCUCGUGUCCGAGAAGAAGUACCCCUGGAAUUGGUGGAAGCGCAUGUCAAGAAAGUACAGGAAGCUGCAAGAGCCUCUGGGAAGGUGGAUCCUACCUACGGCCUGGAGAGCAGCUGCAUUGCAGGCACCGGGCCCGAUGAGCCGGAGAAGCUUGAAGGGUCUGAAGAAGAGAAGAUGGAAACAGAUCCUGAUGGUCAGCAGCCUGAAAAGGCAGAAAACAAAGGGGAAAAUGAAUCGGAUGAAGGGGAUAAAAUACAAGAUGGAGAGAA